AGUGAACGCUGGCGGUAGGCCUAACACAUGCAAGUCGAACGGCAGCACAGGAGAGCUUGCUCUCUGGGUGGCGAGUGGCGGACGGGUGAGGAAUACAUCGGAAUCUACUCUAUCGUGGGGGAUAAUGUAGGGAAACUUACGCUAAUACCGCAUACGACCUACGGGUGAAAGCAGGGGACCUUCGGGCCUUGCGCGAUUGAAUGAGCCGAUGUCGGAUUAGCUAGUUGGCGGGGUAAAGGCCCACCAAGGCGACGAUCCGUAGCUGGUCUGAGAGGAUGAUCAGCCACACUGGAACUGAGACACGGUCCAGACUCCUACGGGAGGCAGCAGUGGGGAAUAUUGGACAAUGGGCGCAAGCCUGAUCCAGCCAUACCGCGUGGGUGAAGAAGGCCUUCGGGUUGUAAAGCCCUUUUGUUGGGAAAGAAAUCCAGCUGGCUAAUACCCGGUUGGGAUGACGGUACCCAAAGAAUAAGCACCGGCUAACUUCGUGCCAGCAGCCGCGGUAA
rnacentral:rRNA from 1 species